rnacentral:rRNA from 1 species
GACGAACGCUGGCGGCGUGCUUAACACAUGCAAGUCGAACGGAAAGGCCCUGCUUUUGUGGGGUGCUCGAGUGGCGAACGGGUGAGUAACACGUGAGUAACCUGCCCUUGACUUUGGGAUAACUUCAGGAAACUGGGGCUAAUACCGGAUAGGAGCUCCUGCUGCAUGGUGGGGGUUGGAAAGUUUCGGCGGUUGGGGAUGGACUCGCGGCUUAUCAGCUUGUUGGUGGGGUAGUGGCUUACCAAGGCUUUGACGGGUAGCCGGCCUGAGAGGGUGACCGGCCACAUUGGGACUGAGAUACGGCCCAGACUCCUACGGGAGGCAGCAGUGGGGAAUAUUGCACAAUGGGCGGAAGCCUGAUGCAGCAACGCCGCGUGCGGGAUGACGGCCUUCGGGUUGUAAACCGCUUUCGCCUGUGACGAAGCGUGAGUGACGGUAAUGGGUAAAGAGGCACCGGCUAACUACGU